rnacentral:rRNA from 1 species
UGGGGAAUUUUCCGCAAUGGGCGAAAGCCUGACGGAGCAAUGCCGCGUGGAGGUAGAAGGCUCACGGGUCGUAAACUCCUUUUCUCAGAGAAGAUGCAAUGACGGUAUCUGAGGAAUAAGCAUCGGCUAACUCUGUG